GAUGAACGCUGGCGGCGUGCCUAAUACAUGCAAGUCGAGCGAACAGACGAGGAGCUUGCUCCUCUGACGUUAGCGGCGGACGGGUGAGUAACACGUGGAUAACCUACCUAUAAGACUGGGAUAACUUCGGGAAACCGGAGCUAAUACCGGAUAAUAUAUUGAACCGCAUGGUUCAAUAGUGAAAGACGGUUUUGCUGUCACUUAUAGAUGGAUCCGCGCCGCAUUAGCUAGUUGGUAAGGUAACGGCUUACCAAGGCAACGAUGCGUAGCCGACCUGAGAGGGUGAUCGGCGACACUGGAACUGGGACGCGGUCCAGACUCCUAAGGGAGGCAGCAGUAGGGAAUCUUCCGCAAUGGGCGAAAGCAUGACGGAGCAACGCCGCGUGAGUGAUGAAGGUCUUCGGAUCGUAAAACUCUGUUAUUAGGGAAGAACAAAUGUGUAAGUAAAUAUGCACGUCUUGACGGUACCUAAUCAGAAAGCAACGGCUAACUACGUG
rnacentral:rRNA from 1 species